rnacentral:rRNA from 1 species
GACGAACGCUGGCGGCGUGCCUAAUACAUGCAAGUAGAACGCUGAAGGAGGAGCUUGCUCUUCUGGAUGAGUUGCGAACGGGUGAGUAACGCGUAGGUAACCUGCCUGGUAGCGGGGGAUAACUAUUGGAAACGAUAGCUAAUACCGCAUAACAGUAGAUGUUGCAUGACAUUUACUUAAAAGGUGCAAUUGCAUCACUACCAGAUGGACCUGCGUUGUAUUAGCUAGUUGGUGGGGUAACGGCUCACCAAGGCGACGAUACAUAGCCGACCUGAGAGGGUGGUCGGCCACACUGGGACUGAGACACGGGCCAGACUCCUACGGGAGGCAGCAGGAGGGAAUCUUCGGCAAUAGACGGAAGUCUGACCGAGCAACGCCGCGUGAGUGAAGAAGGGUUUCGGAUCGGAAAGCUCUGUUGUAAGAGAAGAACGAGUGUGAGAGUGGAAAGUUCACACUGUGACGGUAUCUUACCAGAAAGGGACGGCUAACUACGUG